UACGUAGGUGGCAAGCGUUGUCCGGAAUUAUUGGGCGUAAAGCGCGCGCAGGCGGUCCUUUAAGUCUGAUGUGAAAGCCCCACGGCUCAACCGUGGAGGGUCAUUGGAAACUGGGGGACUUGAGUGCAGAAGAGGAAAGUGGAAUUCCACGUGUAGCGGUGAAAUGCGUAGAGAUGUGGAGGAACACCAGUGGCGAAGGCGACUUUCUGGUCUGUAACUGACGCUGAGGCGCGAAAGCGUGGGGAGCAAACAGG
rnacentral:rRNA from 1 species